rnacentral:rRNA from 1 species
UACGUAGGGUGCAAGCGUUGUCCGGAAUUAUUGGGCGUAAAGAGCUCGUAGGCGGCUUGUCGCGUCGGCUGUGAAAACCUGGGGCUCAACCCCGGGCCUGCAGCCGAUACGGGCAAGCUAGAAUUCGGUAGGGGAGACUGGAAUUCCUGGUGUAGCGGUGAAAUGCGCAGAUAUUAGGAGGAACACCGGUGGCGAAGGCGGGUCUCUGGGCCGAUAUUGACGCUGAGGAGCGAAAGCGUGGGGAGCGAACAGG